rnacentral:rRNA from 1 species
CUCGUAGGUGGUUUGUCGCGUUGUUCGUGAAAUCUCACGGCUUAACUGUGAGCGUGCGGGCGAUACGGGCAGACUAGAGUACUGCAGGGGAGACUGGAAUUCCCAGUGUAGCGGUGAAAUGCGUAGAUAUUGGGAGGAAUACCAGUGGCGAAGGCGGCUCCCUGGACCGGUACUGACGCUGAGGCGCGAAAGCGUGGGUAGCAAACA